CUGGCAGCAACCUGACACCUGUCAGGACCCAGCUGGAUGUUAUCCACCAUGGCUCUGAAGGUUUAAUCAGGGUGCUGAGAGAACCGCCACUUCUCCUGUCUGCUCUCCUGACUGUGAGCUUCACUUGGGCAGUGGCUGUGUGGGAUUCUUCUGUUCUUGGCACAUGGUGUGUUGUCUGGCACAUAAACAGCAGUUGAUAAAUAUUUGCUGAAUGAACAACUGUACUCCUCCACUCCAAGAGAGUGACAGAGUAAAGUCUCCCCACCCCGUUCCGUCCCCCACUAAAUCAGGGAGCCCUCCGGAAUUGGGAGAAUUGGACAGAAUGCCAAGGUUUGAAGGAUAAACACCAGCCUCCCAUCGGCAGCUUGACUAUCAUCCUGGCUUUAUCUGGCCAGUGAGAAUGAAAGGGGCUUUGUUACCAAGUGGACCAUUCCCAAACCGGCACGGUUCCCACUGUAAAGCCAGAAGGGGCUUUAGUGUCUUUUCAAGUUCUUUUCUAAACUCUCUUGAAUUUCAAGUCCCAGAGUCUGCUUUUCUUAUUGGAAAAUCUCCUGGUAUGAAGAGAUGGGGGGCAGGGAGCAAGAAACUCUAAGAAUCCAUUUAAAGGGAUGGAAGAUUGAUGUCCAUGGCAUCCUCUGAACCUAAGAUCCUAAGACAUGUCACCCAUAAUCUGGUCACACCAUCCAAAAGAAACCCUGAAGGCACAGGAACAUGAAAUGUUCAAACAUACUUUGAAGACAAAGCAUAUUUUCUUCUUGUUG
rnacentral:lncRNA from 10 species